CUUAAGGCUUGUAAGCAUCCUGAUGUUUAUGCCUCUGGGUUGUCAACAGUUUGCUAUGUGUUAAAGAUUGAGAAAUAGGUAAACAGAACUAGGUUUCACUCUGGGUUGUCCCUCUGCUGUCUAGACCAGAGUCAAUGCAAACCAAAAGUAACAUGGACCACUGGCCGUCCACCUAAGGGAGUGCUUCUCAAAAGGGAACAAGUGCACACUGAGGUUGCUUCCAGGAACGUUAGCUUCCAAGGGCUUGUGCAUUCUCCAGACUCUUCUUUCCACAUGGUGUCUCUCUUUUUAUUCCUUCCUCUCAGCCGGUUGCCUCUAGGUAGACUGUGCCAAUUAAAAUCUUCUUCUGCCAUAAGCCUCCAAAUCUCUUCCUCUCUCUCUUUCUCUCUCAUGUUUCUGCAGUAGGUGAUUCACAUCUACAUGUUUGUGUGCCGGCUUGGAAGACGGAAAAUGUCCUCAGAGGCACAAAUGGAAGAGUUCACUAAGUUCAGAGAAAGUAUGUGUAUAGGCAAAAACAGAUGAAAACGUUUGACUGAAUUAUUUCUCCAGUCUGUCUUCUUGCCUUCCUCAGUGUCCACAUGAGAGAACCUAAGGUAAUUUCUGACAGUCUGGGACUCCUUGGAAAACAAAGUGGAGGUGCCACAGACUCCAUUUUGGGGAAAACCUCUGUUUUCUUCAUGGAACCCCAGGGAUUGUGAGUAGAUAGAUACCUCUCCACAUCUAGGGCUUUGCUCUGUUUUGAAUUGUGUUACCUGAGCUUUUUGACUUUUGGGAGCAUCAAAAAUUACUUUACAUUUUAAAAAGCUUUUAACCUUGGUGUAUAAUAGCUAGACAGGAAAUACACUUUUGGGAAUUGCUAAGGGCAGUUACUGAAGAAUGGAAUACUUCACUCUUUGAUGUUGCGUAAGAAAAGUAUGCUUUUGACCUCCUGGAAGGUAUGGAAGCAUUUUCAACCCCCACUGAGAUGUAAGACUCCCAUGGAGGAUGGGCUAAUUAUAGAUGGGCUAAUUGGCUUUGGGUUACCCACCAGCCUCUGGGGAAUGCCUGUGCAAUAAAAUGCACAGUGAAAGCAUUGCACUGUGUUAUCCAUGGUGUUUGUCACUUUUUUAGGGACCAAUAAUUCAGUUUAAAAAUGAGAUUAAUUAUUUUUGAGAGAUCUCCUUUUGCCUUCCAUCUAUGCUCACCAAUGAGGCCCUAGAAACUGCAGGUUUUCCUGGUCUUGUUCCUUAAAAGGCUCCACCCUAAAGCCAAUAAUCCAAUUAAGAUUUUUACAUGUUUAAGGAAAUCUCCAGGUGUAAGGGUGUCUACUUUUCUUGACUGUUUUGACUAAACUUUCAACCAUGCCAUUUUUCACUUAAAAAUUAUCCCUUUAAAAAUGCAAAUUUGGAACUACUUGGCUGACAGUUGUUUAGAACAAGGGAACAGGUAAUCG
rnacentral:lncRNA from 10 species